AGAACAUGCCUCUCGCAAAGGAUCUCCUUCAUCCCUCCCCAGAAGAGGAGAAGAGGAAACACAAGAAGAAACGCCUGGUGCAGAGCCCCAAUUCCUACUUCAUGGAUGUGAAAUGCCCAGGAUGCUAUAAAAUCACCACAGUCUUUAGCCAUGCACAAACGGCAGUUUUGUGUGUUGGCUGCUCCACUGUCCUCUGCCAGCCUACAGGAGGAAAAGUAAGGCUUACAGAAGGAUGUUCCUUCAGGAGGAAGCAGCACUAAAAGCAC
rnacentral:lncRNA from 1 species